AACUUAUCCAGAGUGGUGGAGGGACUGGCCCGAUGAUACCCGACAACCAGCAUUCUCAUUCGAAUGUAGUGGUGUCAAUUCCUGCAGAUUGUAAAAUCUGAGAGAUAAGGA
rfam:Clostridium argentinense CDC 2741 T732.Contig248, whole genome shotgun sequence.